rnacentral:rRNA from 1 species
CGGUAAUACCAGCUCUCCGAGUGGUAGGGGUGAUUAUUGGGCUUAAAGCGUCCGUAGCCGGCCUGGCAAGUCUUCCGUUAAAUCCAGCAACCUAAUUGUUGGGCUGCGGGGGAUACUGUUAGGCUAGGGGGCGGGAGAGGCCGACGGUAUUCUCGGGGUAGGGGUGAAAUCUUAUAAUCCCGAGAGGACCACCAGUGGCGAAGGCUGUCGGCUAGCACGCGCCUGACGGUGAGGGACGAAAGCUGGGGGAGCGAACCGGAUUAGAUACCCGGGUAGUCCCUGCUGUAAACGAUGCGAGCUAGGUGUUGGGGCGGCUACGAGCCGCUUCAGUGCCGCAGCGAAGGCGUUAAGCUCGCCGCCUGGGGAGUACGGCCGCAAGGCUGAAACUUAAAGGAAUUGGCG